AACGAACGCUGGCGGCAGGCUUAACACAUGCAAGUCGAGCGAAGACUUCGGUCUUAGCGGCGGACGGGUGAGUAACGCGUGGGAACAUGCCCUUUGCUACGGAACAGUCCCGGGAAACUGGGUUUAAUACCGUAUACGCCCUUCGGGGGAAAGAUUUAUCGGCAAAGGAUUGGCCCGCGUUGGAUUAGGUAGUUGGUGGGGUAAAGGCCUACCAAGCCGACGAUCCAUAGCUGGUUUGAGAGGAUGAUCAGCCACACUGGGACUGAGACACGGCCCAGACUCCUACGGGAGGCAGCAGUGGGGAAUCUUAGACAAUGGGGGCAACCCUGAUCUAGCCAUGCCGCGUGAGUGAUGAAGGCCCUAGGGUUGUAAACCUCUUUCAGCGCAGACGAAGCGAAAGUGACGGUAUGCGCAGAAGAAGGACCGGCCAACUACGUGCCAGCAGCCGCUGUAACAC
rnacentral:rRNA from 1 species